rnacentral:rRNA from 1 species
GUCCAGACUCCUACGGGAGGCAGCAGUGGGGAAUAUUGCACAAUGGGGGAAACCCUGAUGCAGCGACGCCGCGUGAGUGAAGAAGUAUUUCGGUAUGUAAAGCUCUAUCAGCAGGGAAGAUAAUGACGGUACCUGACUAAGAAGCCCCGGCUAACUACGUGCCAGCAGCCGCGGUAAUACGUAGGGGGCAAGCGUUAUCCGGAUUUACUGGGUGUAAAGGGAGCGUAGGUGGCAGGGCAAGUCAGAUGUGAAAACCCGGGGCUCAACCCCGGGAGUGCAUUUGAAACUGUCCAGCUGGAGUGCAGGAGAGGUAAGUGGAAUUCCUAGUGUAGCGGUGAAAUGCGUAGAUAUUAGGAGGAACACCAGUGGCGAAGGCGGCUUACUGGACUGUAACUGACACUGAGGCACGAAAGCGUGGGGAGCAAACAGGAUUAGAUACCCCUGUAAU